rnacentral:rRNA from 1 species
AGGACGAACGCUGGCGGCGUGCUUAACACAUGCAAGUCGAACGGUGACCAGGACUUCGGUCCUGCGAUCAGUGGCGAACGGGUGCGUAACACGUGGGCAGCCUGCCCCUCACUCUGGGAUAACCCCGGGAAACCGGAGCUAAUACCGGAUACUCUCACCGACUCUCCUGGUUCGGUGAGGAAAGGUCCGCCGGUGAGGGAUGGGCCCGCGGCCUACCAGCUUGUUGGUGAGGUAACGGCUCACCAAGGCGACGACGGGUAGCUGGUCUGAGAGGACGACCAGCCACACUGGAACUGAGAUACGGUCCAGACUCCUACGGGAGGCAGCAGUGGGGAAUCUUGCGCAAUGGGCGAAAGCCUGACGCAGCGACGCCGCGUGGGGGAUGAAUGCCUUCGGGUUGUAAACCCUUUCGGCAGGGACGAAGCGAACGUGACGGUACCUGCAGAAGAAGCUCCGGCUAACUACGUGCCAGCAGCCGC